CGUAGGGGGCAAGCGUUGUCCGGAAUUAUUGGGCGUAAAGGGCGCGUAGGCGGGUAUUUAAGUCUGGUGUGAAAGAUCAGGGCUCAACCCUGAGAGUGCAUCGGAAACUGGGUAUCUUGAGGACAGGAGAGGAAAGUGGAAUUCCACGUGUAGCGGUGAAAUGCGUAGAUAUGUGGAGGAACACCAGUGGCGAAGGCGACUUUCUGGACUGUAACUGACGCUGAGGCGCGAAAGCGUGGGGGGCAAACAGGAUUAGAUACCCUGGUAGUCCACGCCGUAAACGAUGAGUGCUAGGUGUAGAGGGUAUCGACCCCUUCUGUGCCGCAGUUAACACAAUAAGCACUCCGCCUGGGGAGUACGGCCGCAAGGUUG
rnacentral:rRNA from 1 species